AGGGUCACCAUGUGGUGUCAGAAAGAUCCCAGCAAGGCCAUCACUAAGACUCUGCUUCCAGGUUUCUCUUUGCCAGCGGUCACACCCCACCUCCUUCAAGCAGCCUCAUUUGCAGGUCUGCUUAGCCCCUGUCCCAGACCCCCGCUUGCUUCUGGGGCCCUGAACGGUGAGCCCCUGCGGUGGACAGCUGUUCCAGUUCGCCACGGACACUCUCAUGCUGCCUGCAUGAUCUCCCCCAAUGAUCCUGCUGUCAGGGUGUAGUCACCCCAUUUGGCAGAUGCGUCAUCGGAGGCACAGAGCAACUGAAUGCCUUAUUCACACCGGGAUCCGGCCCCACGUUUUCCGAGUCCUGGUACUCAAACUCUACGCCAAGCCACCUCCUUGUAUAGCAAAGCCUCUGGAAUCGAUGAACGACCUGCAGGUACACAAGACCUCAUAUUUCCACUCCCUGACAAGUUUUGCCCAUAAUCCAUAUGCUGUGCUGAAGUUCCCAAAUGUUCAGGUGGGGAACCCCAAAGGGGCAGAGGCAUAUUUUAAAUGUUUAAUUCAAAUUAAGGCUGGUGUCAGGAAAAUCCAUAUUUUGAGCCACAGAAGAAAGAGAAAUGGCAGCCCAAUCAAUAUUACAGAAGUAUAUGGACUCUUUUACUGUUCUAUCAAUUCCUGGAGCUAAUAAGUCAGCAUCUCAGGGGACAGCUUCGGAGUUUAAAACAAAAGUUCAGAGGCUGCUGCCUGUCAGGCAUGAUUCCAGCUUUCGUUCUGAUCAAGGUGAGUAGGAGAUGAAGGGCCUUCUCACACAUGGCCCAGAUGACCCCCGGGCACCUCUCAUCAACACCGGGACGGCUCGGCUGAUAACAAGCACCUCCGCCGUGGCCGGCUAAUUCUUCAUCUCCUUGUCAUCAAUACUGCCGGCAAAGCCCCCACAGAAGGCACGCAGAUUAAAAUGUUAAAUCAAAUUCAGAAGAGAAAUUUGAAAAUCAAUUUUAGGUUCCCGAAGAAAAGGCCAGGGAGGAUAAUUAAGACUCGUAACUCCCAGGUUCAGCUGCUUUAUUUUCUAAUUCUGGAGCAAAAUAAAACCAUUAUUUUCCAAGGAAUCGGCUGGAAGAAGAAUGCAAUGGUAGAGCAGCCUCCGUGACUGAGAACCAGGGUGGCCGAGACGCUCCCAGUUCACGGACAGGCACUCCAGCGAGCCACCCUAUCAGCCGACGGACUUGGGACGCUCUCUCAUUUUCUUUUCCUGUACCUUUUUUCCCCCCCCUUGGCAAGAGAAAGCCAAUGCAAAUGUGAAAGGUUGGCUGCUUCCAAGUUUACAGUAAAUAAGUUGAAAGAGCUGUAGAUUACCCAGGCCCCGGUGUCAGGAGCUAAUGCAUUCUCGAUGUAACCCAUUUGCAGCAGAGCCAAACUCUGCUUUGACAUUUUCCUUCGCUGCACACGGAUAUUUGUAUUAUUGGUGCUUUGCUCUUGCUCUCAUUUGCCUAUUGUGAUUCACACGGACCAGCAAUGCUAAUAGGAUGCUUCAUUUCCUCCGUGGGCCAGUGCAGGAUAAAUCACAGCUUCGUGAUCCAUUUCACCGUACGGUAAAUACCCUUAUGCUGCUGCUUACUUUCCAUGCAAAACCUACGUGAAUGCAGUUCACUUUUAAGCUACCCAGAAAUGCAAAGAGAGAGAGAAUUCCUCCCUCUCUCAGUAGGGGGUAUUUGUAGAAGACCUAGAAGAAUUUAAUUCCCUGGCUCCCGGCAGUGAAGGUCACAUAAUUAUGUCACCCCCAGUGAGCUCCAGAAUUUGGCAUACCCCAGAAGAGGAAAAUUGACAGAAGGAGUCAUUUUCGCAGCUCCCCGGAAUUAUUAAUGUCUCUACCGAUUGGGAAGUCUGCACUGCAUGUUUCUACACAAAUUUAUCGGCAGUAGUUUUUCAGUUUUUCAUCUUGCUUCAGCUUCCCGAAUGGUAUUUGGCUUAGAACUUCCAUGACAAGCUUGGAGUUCAACGACUUCUAUCUUUUGUUACUUGUAUCCUCCCGGCCAAUCACACUUCAUGCAUGGGAUAUUAGGAAUCACGAAUGCACACCUAUUCCAUACUGGACACUGCAGAGGAGGCAAAAGGAAUGGGACUCCAUCACUGUCCUGUAAGCUGCUAUCUCCUUAGGAAGAGGAGCUGGGUGUACAGGGAACCCGAGGGCUUUAGACCAGAGAAGAAAGAUUCAGAGCUCUCACGCCAAUGUUUCUCAGCCUCAGGUUUUCAAGGAUCACCUUCGUGAUUUUGGCUAGAGUUGAGGAAGACUUGUGAUAUUUUUACUUCAUAAUUUUAAGCAGAUUUGAUUGUUUCUACUUCAAAUAAUUUCUAAAGAAGACUUUAUUGCUAUUGUUUGGAAAACAACACAAGCAGCCACGAAGAGAGAAAGCACUGUUUAUGCAUUAUUUCUAGUUUGACGGCUUUACCCUCACAGUGAGGAAAUAGACAUGCGUCCAUUUCAUUAAAAUGGAGUAGGAUAAAUACAACAGAGAGAAGAGGGGAGGGAGCAAUUAAUCAACUGUAGGGGUAAGGGAAGGCUUCCUGGAGGAGGAGAUUCCUAAACUGGGCUAGAAGGAUAACUAGGAGUUCAUUAGGAAGACCAGAAAACCCUUCAUACUCCAUUGUGGUCUUACUUGUGUCUAGAACCAGCUGAACUGUCUUGCUGUUAAUUUACCUGCUGUUGUCUCUGGAACAUGCAGAGACAGCACCUUACUGAUUAUCCAACAUGGACAUCAAAAUCUAUUUGCACCAACACUUUUCAAACUGCUUAGGCUGUUGCAGACAUGCUCUGAUCAUUCUUCUUGUGAAACAACUCUAAAAUGUUGCCUGUUUUCACA